ensembl:misc_RNA Metazoa_SRP Metazoan signal recognition particle RNA
GCUGGGCAUGGUGGCUCAAGCCUGUAAUCCUAGCACUUUGGGAGGCUGAGGCAGGUGGAUCACUUGAGGUCAAGAGUUCAAGACUGGCCUGGCCAACAUGAUGAAACCCCAUCUCUACUAAAAAUAGCUAAUUAGCUGGGCCUGCUGGCGGGAACCAGUAAUCCCAGUUACUCAGGAGGCUGAGGCAGGAGAAUCGCUUAAACCUGGGAGGUAGAGGGUACUGUGAACCAAGAUCGUGCCACUGCACUCUAGCCUGGGUGACAGAGUAAGACUCUGCCUCA